GUAGACCACGAUGGCAUUUUUGUAAUUCGAAGACUUUAUUCUAAGACGAGUGUCAUUAGAAAACGUCGUUGUUAGUUUAGAAAAAAAAAAGUUAUACGCGUUCUGAACCCUAAGCAAGGUCACAACCUCGAAGCUGAGUUCUUUCUACUGUGCUGCAUCAACAGUUAUACGACGACAAUGACUGUGACCUAAAAUCACCUCUGAAGAAACCCGAUUCCGCAUCCACCCCCAGUCCCACCGCGUGCGGCGUCAAAGAGGAUUUCUCCGUGCUCACCAACGACGAAGAAGAAGAAGAUGUAAUUGCCGGUAUCCGAAAUGAUUUCACAGAGUUAGUAGCAAGUUCAAGAACGGGAUCUUCAAAAUCUGCGAGGCUCACUGUAACUCCUAACUUCCCAGAUUGUCAUCUUCCUCUUCAGUCAUCUACUUUUCCUCUUUUCUCUCCGAUGAUUGUUGGAACUCAAAGAGCUUCUUUGAUGGAACAGUACGAAAAGGUUGAGAAGAUAGGGUCGCGACCGCGUCACCAACGAGACCAUCGCGUUGAAGAAGAUUCGCCUCGAGCAGGAGGAUGAGGGGGUUCCCAGCACCGCCAUUCACGAGAUUUCUCUCUUGAAAGAAAUGCAGCACAGGAACAUUGUUAGGUUGUAGGAUGUAGUGCACGAUGAGAAGAGUUUGUAUCUGGUACAAUUGGUUUCUGAGGGAAGACAAAGGUAGUUAGAUAAUAAAUUCAAGGACUUUGUUGCAAGGUUGAAAUGGUGUAAUAGUUCUAACUUCUCUAUCCUUGAAUUCUUGCUUCAUUACUCUCUUUUCUAAUGUGAUAUGUGGCAUUAGAAUCAUUUUCAAUAUUUGGCUGAAUACCUAGAACACUAUGCAAUUUGUUAUAACAGUGAGGCUGGAGAACUUUAUUCAAAGAAGCUUGCCAAGUUUGUUGGAAAGCGUCUCAAAUCAGAAUGGGCUGCUUCUAUAUGGACUAGUACACUGCAACGAACAAUUCUGACAGCCACUCCAAUUAUUGGAUUUCCCAAGAUACAAUGGCGUGCACUUGAUGAGAUAAACGCAGGGGUGUGUGAUGGUAUGGCAUAUGCAGAAAUCAAGAAAAACAUGCCAGAGGAGUAUGAGUAGGUUUGCAGACUUGUAAUUUUUCUCUUAUUUGCAAGUUGCAUGCAACUAAUAUGGCAGAUAAAAAGAAGCACAAUGUGAAACUUCUCUCUUAUUAAUUUUUAUGAUACAUAGAUUAAAAUAUAAUAUGUCUUAGACAAAUAUUAACUAAGACCUUGUAACUCUAGAUUAUAUGACCAGGAACCAUAUAAUAUUUCUUUGGAUUUAUUCCUUAAACUUUUUUAAAAAUUGUUUUUAGUUCGUGAAUUUUUUUUAUUUAUUUUUAGUUCUUUAAUUAUAUUUUGUCUUGGCUUUUUUGUUUUUCUUGCAAAUUUAAGCAUGUCCAGCUUUCAUUUAUACAUUUGAUGUCUUUUUAUUUUCUUAUUUGUUGAGUUACUAUUCAAUCACAAAGUUGCCAAUUGCAAUACCAGGUAUAUAGGAACGGAAAUCCUUAUGGAAUAGCUGAAGGUAUUGUUUUCAGUAUGCCAUGCCGAUCAAAGGUAAGUUUGUUUACUGUGUUCUUCAUUCUUUUUAAUUUCUAAAAUUGCUUUUAUCCCUCCUGUGAUGAAAGUUUUUAUCCAUUUGGGUGAUGGUGAUUAUGAACUUGUCAAGGAUGAUUAUGA